GACGAACGCUGGCGGCGUGCUUAACACAUGCAAGUCGAACGGAAAGGCCCUGCUUUUGUGGGGUGCUCGAGUGGCGAACGGGUGAGUAACACGUGAGUAACCUGCCCUUGACUUUGGGAUAACUUCAGGAAACUGGGGCUAAUACCGGAUAGGAGCUCCUGCUGCAUGGUGGGGGUUGGAAAGUUUCGGCGGUUGGGGAUGGACUCGCGGCUUAUCAGCUUGUUGGUGGGGUAGUGGCUUACCAAGGCUUUGACGGGUAGCCGGCCUGAGAGGGUGACCGGCCACAUUGGGACUGAGAUACAGCCCAGACUGCUACGGGAGGCAGCAGUGGGGAAUAUUGCAGAAUGGGCGGAAGCCUGAGGCAGCAACGCCGCGUGCGGGAUGACGGCCUUCGGGUUGUAAACCGCUUUCGCCUGUGACGAAGCGUGAGUGACGGUAAUGGGUAAAGAAGCACCGGCUAACUACGUG
rnacentral:rRNA from 1 species